rnacentral:rRNA from 1 species
AUUUACUUCGGUAAUGACGUUAGGAAAGCGAGCGGCGGAUGGGUGAGUAACACGUGGGGAACCUGCCCCAUAGUCUGGGAUACCACUUGGAAACAGGUGCUAAUACCGGAUAAGAAAGCAGAUCGCAUGAUCAGCUUUUAAAAGGCGGCGUAAGCUGUCGCUAUGGGAUGGCCCCGCGGUGCAUUAGCUAGUUGGUAAGGUAAAGGCUUACCAAGGCGAUGAUGCAUAGCCGAGUUGAGAGACUGAUCGGCCACAUUGGGACUGAGACACGGCCCAAACUCCUACGGGAGGCAGCAGUAGGGAAUCUUCCACAAUGGACGCAAGUCUGAUGGAGCAACGCCGCGUGAGUGAAGAAGGUUUUCGGAUCGUAAAGCUCUGUUGUUGGUGAAGAAGGAUAGAGGUAGUAACUGGCCUUUAUUUGACGGUAAUCAACCAGAAAGUCACGGCUAACUACGUGCCAGCAGCCGCGGUAAUACGUAGGUGGCAAGCGUUGUCCGGAUUUAUUGGGCGUAAAGCGAGCGCAGGCGGAAGAAUAAGUCUGAUGUGAAAGCCCUCGGCUUAACCGAGGAACUGCAUCGGAAACUGUUUUUCUUGAGUGCAGAAGAGGAGAGUGGAACUCCAUGUGUAGCGGUGGAAUGCGUAGAUAUAUGGAAGAACACCAGUGGCGAAGGCGGCUCUCUGGUCUGCAACUGACGC